rnacentral:rRNA from 1 species
GGCGUACGGGUGCGGAACACGUGUGCAACCUGCCUUUAUCUUGGGGGAUAGCCUUUCGAAAGGAAGAUUAAUACCCCAUAAUAUGUUGAAUGGCAUCAUUCGACAUUGAAAACUCCGGUGGAUAGAGAUGGGCACGCGCAAGAUUAGAUAGUUGGUGAGGUAACGGCUCACCAAGUCUACGAUCUUUAGGGGGGCCUGAGAGGGUGAUCCCCCACACUGGUACUGAGACACGGACCAGACUCCUACGGGAGGCAGCAGUGAGGAAUAUUGGACAAUGGGUGAGAGCCUGAUCCAGCCAUCCCGCGUGAAGGACGACUGCCCUAUGGGUUGUAAACUUCUUUUGUAUAGGGAUAAACCUACCCUCGUGAGGGUAGCUGAAGGUACUAUACGAAUAAGCACCGGCUAACUCCGUGCCAGCAGCCGCGGUAAUACGGAGGGUGCAAGCGUUAUCCGGAUUUAUUGGGUUUAAAGGGUCCGUAGGCGGAUCUGUAAGUCAGUGGUGAAAUCUCACAGCUUAACUGUGAAACUGCCAUUGAUGCUGCAGGUCUUGAGUGUUGUUGAAGUAGCUGGAAUAAGUAGUGUAGCGGUGAAAUGCAUAGA